GACGAACGCUGGCGGCGUGCCUAAUACAUGCAAGUAGAACGCUGAAGGAGGAGCUUGCUCUUCUGGAUGAGUUGCGAACGGGUGAGUAACGCGUAGGUAACCUGCCUGGUAGCGGGGGAUAACUAUUGGAAACGAUAGCUAAUACCGCAUAACAGUAGAUGUUGCAUGACAUUUGCUUAAAAGGUGCAAUUGCACCACUACCAGAUGGACCUGCGUUGUAUUAGCUAGUUGGUGGGGUAACGGCUCACCAAGGCGACGAUACAUAGCCGACCUGAGAGGGGGAUCGGCCACACUGGGACUGAGACACGGCCCAGCCUCCUACGGGAGGCAGCAGUAGGGAAUCUUCGGCAAUGGACGGAAGUCUGACCGAGCAACGCCGCGUGAGUGAAGAAGGUUUUCGGAUCGUAAAGCUCUGUUGUAAGAGAAGAACGAGUGUGAGAGUGGAAAGUUCACACUGUGACGGUAUCUUACCAGAAAGGGACGGCUAACUACGUG
rnacentral:rRNA from 1 species